UUGAUUUAAAGUCUGACCUGCUCACUGAGGAUUUGAAGAGCCGCGGUAUUUUGACCGUGCGAAGGUAGCAUAAUAAUUAGUUUUUUUAUUGGAAUCUAGUAUGAAUGGUUUGACGAGAUAAAGUCUGUCUCUUUUUUAGUUUUUGAAUUUUACUUUUGAGUUAAAAGGCUUAAAUUUUUUUAAAAGACGAGAAGACCCUAUAGAGUUUUAUUUAUUUUUUAUUAUAUAUGUAUGGUUGUUGUUAUUUUAAUAUUAGAAUAGAUUUGAUUGGGGUGAUUGAGAAAUUUAUUUAACUUUCUUUUUAUUUUUACAUUUAUUUAUGAUUUUUUGAUCCAAAAGUUUUGAUUUAAAGAUUAAAUUACCUUAGGGAUAACAGCGUAAUUUUUCUUGAGAGUUCUUAUCGAAAGGGAAGUUUGCG
rnacentral:rRNA from 1 species